rnacentral:lncRNA from 1 species
AUGACAGACGAUAAGAGAUAGACCGUACCACCAACAAAUAUUAAGAUAUUUGAAGAAUUCAAUAUCAGCAAAUACAUUGUUACACUUAUGUGCGGAAGAUGCUGCCAUCCUAUUUCGAAUACUUGCUCAAUACUAAUAUUAAAUCUGACGGUACCGACUAGUGUGCUGGUCUAAUCGGUUUAAGAAAUUUGAUGGUGAUCGAUGAGAUUAUGUUACCAGCAUAGCAGUUUUGGAUACAGACGAUGGUAUAGAAUGAGCAUGGCUAAAUAACUUGUGUUGGCAAGUCACUGUCGA